GGAAGCCGGUGUGAGUCCGGCACGGCCCCGCCACUGUAACGGGCCUGGGACGCGCUCCCGCCGUCCGCUCACGUCGCCACUGGCGUAUGCCGGGAAGGCGAGCGGACGGGCCCGAAGUCAGGAGAC
rfam:Gemmatimonadetes bacterium GWC2_71_9 gwc2_scaffold_9192, whole genome shotgun sequence.